CACAUUUCUCAGAAAUUUGACAACAAAACAAAACAAAGCGAGAUAUGUCGAGCCAACAAAGAAGGCGCAGUUGGAAAAUUGAGUAAUUAGUAAUGAAGUAGCAGGCAUAUUUGGAAAAAAUUAUGCCGAUAAGCAGGAUGGAAUUUGG